rnacentral:rRNA from 1 species
UCCGGUUUGAACUCUAGAGAUAGAGCUUCCCCUUCGGGGGCAAAGUGACAGGUGGUGCAUGGUUGUCGUCAGCUCGUGUCGUGAGAUGUUGGGUUAAGUCCCGCAACGAGCGCAACCCUUAUUGUUAGUUGCCAUCAUUCAGUUGGGCACUCUAGCAAGACUGCCGGUGACAAACCGGAGGAAGGUGGGGAUGACGUCAAAUCAUCAUGCCCCUUAUGACCUGGGCUACACACGUGCUACAAUGGGAAGUACAACGAGUCGCGAAGUCGCGAGGCUAAGCUAAUCUCUUAAAGCUUCUCUCAGUUCGGAUUGCAGGCUGCAACUCGCCUGCAUGAAGCCGGAAUCGCUAGUAAUCGCGGAUCAGCACGCCGCGGUGAAUACGUUCCCGGGUCUGUACCACACCGA